GAAUAUUGGACAAUGGGCGAAAGCCUGAUCCAGCCAUGCCGCGUGAGUGAUGAAGGCCCUAGGGUUGUAAAGCUCUUUCACCGGUGAAGAUAAUGACGGUAACCGGAGAAGAAGCCCCGGCUAACUUCGUGCCAGCAGCCGCGGUAAUACGGAGGGAGCUAGCGUUGUUCGGAAUUACUGGGCGUAAAGCGCACGUAGGCGGCUUUGUAAGUUAGAGGUGAAAGCCCGGGGCUCAACCCCGGAAUUGCCUUUAAGACUGCAUCGCUUGAAGCCAGGAGAGGUGAGUGGAAUUCCGAGUGUAGAGGUGAAAUUCGUAGAUAUUCGGAAGAACACCAGUGGCGAAGGCGGCUCACUGGACUGGUAUUGACGCUGAGGUGCGAAAGCGUGGGGAGCAAA
rnacentral:rRNA from 1 species